ensembl:snRNA U6 U6 spliceosomal RNA
AUGCUUGCUUUGGCAGCACGUAUACCAAAAUUGGAAAAAUAAGAGAUGAUUAGCAUGGCCCCUGUGCAAGGAUGACACGUAAAUUCGUGAAGCAUUCCAUAUAUUU